rnacentral:precursor_RNA from 13 species
CGGAGGUUGUCUUGCCGGGCUCUGCCUCCUGUGCCUACUGAGCUGAAACGCAGUUGCUUUGCUUAAACUGGCUCAGUUCAGCAGGAACAGGAGUCUAGCCCAGCCCCUAGAGACCCCACA